AUUGAACGCUGGCGGCAGGCCUAACACAUGCAAGUCGAGCGGCAGCGGGAAAGUAGCUUGCUACUUUUGCCGGCGAGCGGCGGACGGGUGAGUAAUGCCUGGGAAAUUGCCCAGUCGAGGGGGAUAACAGUUGGAAACGACUGCUAAUACCGCAUACGCCCUACGGGGGAAAGCAGGGGACCUUCGGGCCUUGCGCGAUUGGAUAGGCCCAGGUGGGAUUAGCUAGUUGGUGAGGUAAUGGCUCACCAAGGCGACGAUCCCUAGCUGGUCUGAGAGGAUGAUCAGCCACACUGGAACUGAGACACGGUCCAGACUCCUACGGGAGGCAGCAGUGGGGAAUAUUGCACAAUGGGGGAAACCCUGAUGCAGCCAUGCCGCGUGUGUGAAGAAGGCCUUCGGGUUGUAAAGCACAUUCAGCGAGGAGGAAAGGUCAGUGGCUAAUACCUGCUGGCUGUGACGUUACUCGCAGAAGAAGCACCGGCUAACUCCGUGCCAGCCGCCGCCGUAACAC
rnacentral:rRNA from 1 species